rfam:Candidatus Stoquefichus sp. KLE1796 genomic scaffold Scaffold66, whole genome shotgun sequence.
UGGGGCAAAGAUAAAAACACAAUGUAUAAUUUUAUACAGAUACGGUUGGUAGUCCGUACGUGAGUCUGACUCAUAAGUAACCUUCCUCCUUAGGUCGUCCAUUCUUUGUUUAUACUUU